rnacentral:rRNA from 1 species
GGAAAAUCCUCUCGGAACCCCUCCCAUCCACUCGCGCCAAACGAGGCCCUAGGGUUCCACCAGAGAACAAAGGGGAUCGGGGGUCCAUCUUCCCCCUCUCGCCGUCGCAAUUGCCGUCGGAUGCCUCGAAUGAGGAUCCGCUGCUGCUUGCGAAUAGGCGACCAAAUAAGCAGCUCCCCCUUUGGGAGCCGCACUCCCCAAUCGAAUCAGUAAGAGCAGCAGCUCUUUUGGGAGCGGCGAUCCGCAAUCAAGCGGCUCCUUUCCGAGCUGCGACCAGCAAUCGAAGCAAUCAAGCGGCUCCACUCCGAGCCGCAGUCCGCAAUCGAAGCACCUCCCUUCUUUAGCCGCAAUCCUGAAUCAAAGCAGUCCUUUCCGGAUUACAAUCAGAAACAGGUCCUCUUUCGAAUUCAUUAUCCGAGUUUCCAUUGGUGGCGGGAAUCUAGCAGCUACUCCCUCCGUUCCAAAUUACUCGUCGCAAAAGUGGAUGUAUCUGAACUAAAAUACAUCUAUUUCUAUGACAAGUAAUUCGGAACGGAGGGAGUACAUAUAUAUAUCUGGCCUGGCGGACAAUUUUAAGAGGAGGCGAGCAACAACUCCCUAGUGGACAUCAGUUUUCGGAGCGACCAGCAACUCGGGCGAUGGCGAAGUCUAGUCGCCGGCGACGGGCUGCCAAAUUGAUGGACAGGCCAUCCGCUUCGACCGUGGGGGAAGUCAAUCCAGAUGAUAGGAUCAGCAGCUUGCCCAAUGACAUCCUGCUCAACAUUCUCGACCGACUCGAUGUCCGCAACGCUGCGAGAACCAGUGUCCUCUCGAGAAGGUGGAGUCAGCUUCCUGCAAUGCUCCCACGGCUUGUAAUCAGUGCUCCGGACCUCCUGCCCUCAGAAACUAAAACCAAAAAGACCAAUGGUAAAUUGGUUCGGAGGACCAAAGCAGCUGUGGCCGAAGCUUUGGCCAAUGCAGGAUUGUCCAAUGCUGAAUUGGUUCAGAGGACCAAUGCAGCUGUGGCCAAAGCCUUGGCCGAUGCAGCCAAAGUUGUGGCCAAUACAGCUGCGGCCAAAGCGACAAAGAGCAUACUGGCACGCAGGGAUCCGGGUGGAUGCACCAUCCGCCUCUUGAGCAUGACGUUCUACUUGAAAGACGAUGCCCCCAUAUCAGUUGGGCAUUCUGUUGCCAGUGCCAUGGCAACAUGCAAGACUGAAAAGGCCGAAUUCAUAGUUCUGACAGAGAAGGAACGCCUAGAGUGCGACGUUUAUGACGUGGAAAACUAUGGGACACGGUUUGUGUCGUUUUUUAAUGAAUGUGUCAAUGCAUUUGCUGGUCUCACCCGCCUCCACCUGCAGAAUUUGAGAUUCGCCAAAUCAGACUUUGUUUCCAACAUCCUUGUCACUUGCAAGAAAUUAAAUUAUUUAGGUUUUCUCAAUUGCGACACAGAGGAUUGGAUAACGCUCCAAGUUGAACAUGCACAGCUCAGAGAGCUUAGUAUUGUUAAUUGCCGGUUUGACAUGGUCAAACUCGCCUGGGUUCCGAAACUCACCUGCCUGGCGUUUGAGUCUUGGGUGUCUUUCAGAAAACCACCAUUGUCAUUUGGCCAUGUCCCAUUGCUUGAGGUUCUGCGCCUUUCAAAUGUUGCUCUUAAUUGGCACAAAAUGGUCAAGUUAAGUACAUUUCUUCACGAGACCUCUGUCCGAGACCUGAGGUUGGGGUUUAAAUCUGAAAAGGUAAGUCAGGUUGAUUGCUUUGUUAUGGCUUCACUUGUUCACUACUCAUCCUAUCAGAGUGUUUGACCAGAAGGCAGGCAUAUGUGUUCUGCCAACUAAGGAUUCUCAAUCUACUUAGCAUUCCUGAAGGGUAUGAUCUCACCUGGACAAUGUUCUUUUUGGAAGCGGCGCCAUCCCUGAAGGAGCUCAUAUUGACGGUAAUUGAUCAUCCAUGUGAAAUGGAAAUGGACCAGAAGGUGAGGAGGCAGAAGUCCUAUAGCAGGAACAAGGGUGUCCAGUGGGAAUCACCUACAUCAAAUUUCAAGCACCAUUGUCUCACCAAGCUAACCUUCUUCUGCUUCCAAUCUGAAGAGUACAUGGUGAGUCAUGUCAGGCGUGUCAUGAAAGCAGCGGUGAAUCUAGGGGAUGUGUACCUGUAUGACAGGCUCACAUGUAUCUACUGCGAAGGCGAGGAGCCUCUAAAGCCGAUAGUGUUUCCGAAGACAGAUAAGCAGAUGUCUUCAGUGGAGAAGCGAAUCAGGAAGGGCAUCGAGUCACCUGCCAUAAUCCACUUCCUGGCGGCUGCUGAAAUAAGCGAUGAUUAUCGUGCAAGGGUAACUGAAGACUGUUAGUGGCAGUUUAUUGAAUACCAAGUCGGCUUGCCUGAGUACUCGAUUGGGCUAGAAAUAGUGGUCCAAAUACGCAUUUCCUUAUUUGGUCUGCUUCUGUAGUUGCAAUGCCUUGUAUAAUUAAAAUCAGUUGAAACCAAUUGUGGCACUAUUUGUAUGUGAAUUCAAGAAGUUGAUGAUCCAGUUAAAUUUUAGACCAAAGUUU